rnacentral:rRNA from 1 species
CCCCUGCGCCAAUGGUACUUCGUCUUAAGACGCGGGAGAGUAGGGCGCCGCCGGGC